AACGAACGCUGGCGGCAGGCCUAACACAUGCAAGUCGAACGUGAAGCCACCUUCGGGUGGUGGAAAGUGGCAGACGGGUGAGUAACGCGUGGGAACGUGCCCUUCGGUUCGGGAUAACCCAGGGAAACUUGGGCUAAUACCGGAUACGCCCUUCGGGGGAAAGAUUUAUUGCCGAAGGAUCGGCCCGCGUCGGAUUAGCUUGUUGGUGGGGGUAAAAGCCCACCAAGGCGACGAUCCGUAGCUGGUCUGAGAGGAUGAUCAGCCACACUGGGACUGAGACACGGCCCAGACUCCUACGGGAGGCAGCAGUGGGGAAUAUUGGACAAUGGGCGCAAGCCUGAUCCAGCCAUACCGCGUGGGUGAAGAAGGCCCUAGGGUUGUAAAUCCCUUUCAGCGGGGAAGAUAAUGACGGUACCCGCAGAAGAAGCCCCGGCUAACUCCGUG
rnacentral:rRNA from 1 species